rnacentral:rRNA from 1 species
UACGAAGGGGGCUAGCGUUGUUCGGAAUUACUGGGCGUAAAGGGCGCGUAGGCGGUCCGGUAAGUCGGCUGUGAAAGUCCAGGGCUCAACCCUGGGAUGCCGGUCGAUACUGCCGGACUAGAGUUCGGAAGAGGCGAGUGGAAUUCCCGGUGUAGCGGUGAAAUGCGCAGAUAUCGGGAGGAACACCUAUGGCGAAGGCAGCUCGCUGGGACGUUACUGACGCUGAGGCACGAAAGCGUGGGGAGCAAACAGG